GUGAGUGCUGCGCGCACUCCGCGUUAUUUACUGUUCAUUCCGUCUCCUUCUCAUCCUUCUUUUAAUUUGUGUUUUGGAUGUGCUUUAUCACGCGCGCCACGUGUCGGGGCGGCGGAGCCUGCGUGUGGUUUAUAAAUAACUGGGCGUAGCCUGGGGACACACGCUGGCUCGGGGUGUGUGUGUGGGGGGGGUUAACACUGGUAGGGCAGCGCUGCGUCCUCUCCUGGCCACGUUUAAGGAUCUGGAGCAUUAAAUAACAUUAAGAAUUAACAGAUGCCAAGGGAGUCGCAUUCGUUUUUCCGUGGGAAGGAGGUCAGCACCGCCGGUGUGGGUGUCGGACCAGGUAGAGAAGCAGAUUCCCAGGAGAAGGACAGAGUGCCUGAUGAGGAAAAUCCUCCUGCUCCCACCAUGUACUGGCGCUUCAGCUCCAGAUAAUAUUUUCUGUGCAUAAUAACUUCCACAGCCCGUGGGAACCUUGUCAGCACAGCGUGAAUUUGUCCACCUUUAAUCAGUGUGCAGGCAGGAGAAAGGCUUCCCACCCCUGUACAUGGGUUGGUGUGCUGCCUCUCGGGGGGAAUGGUUUGCUCUCUUCCCAGGUCAGCCAGCACUGCAUCAGAUUGUUUGGGAAGUCAGCGGGGCUGCUGGGUACUAGGAUAAAGUUCUUUAAAAGGCAUCAUUGCAGAAGGACUGACAGUGCACCCAGGAACCACAGUUACAACCAGUCAUUGAUUUGUUUCCUGCUUGAGUACCAUAAAACAUUUUUCAAGAAAUGGAAGGAGAUAAAGGGCAGAGUGCUAAAGCUACCAGUGCAGUGGGUGACCUGAGGAAAAGCUGGCAGACCUGGGCAGAGGAUCACAUUGAGUAUCAGAGAAAGAACCCGUUCAGCAGCGAGGACAGGCUUGCCUCUAGACCUGCGCACACUCACCGAGGAGAUCCUACCUAUGGGAGACCCCCUGAAGGGUCUCGGACAGAGCAGAGAGGGAAAGAUGCUCACUCACACGUGGGCAAGGAAGUAGAAGAGCUGUGCUUGAUCAUUAGAAGCACUGGACAGGUGGGUGAAGAUGGACACGUGAGUGUGACAUUUGGGCAGCUGUUUGAAACAUAUGUGACUAUUUCCAAUAAAGUAGUGGGAAUCUUGUUAAGAGCCAGAAAACAUGGUCUGGUUCAUUUUGAAGGUGAAAUGCUUUGGCAAGGAAAAGAUGAUGAUGUGGUCAUCACUUUACUACAAUAAGGCUUUGUCAUGGAAUGAAUUUUGCUGCAUGGUUCCAUUUGGACAAACAUACCUAGAUACCAUCUUGAAAGGUUUUCAUUGCAGCAUUUCAACUAAGCAACCUACUGGGACAUGAGCAGGAGAGAAAACUGGAGAGAAGGAUAAAGCAUAUUUUUGUAAAAAUGGUAGAGAUUUGGACAGAAAUCACAAAUGACAAGCUAAUCCAUCAUGCUGCCAUUGGAUUGUUCUUAUCAGCUACUACUAUGUAUAUCACAGUUCUUCAAACGACUCCGCUGGCUUACUGCUUUUAGGUUAUUGAAAGGAUACAUAACUAACUUUCUACCGUUCAACACUGAUCCUUGUAGGUUGUGAGAUACUUGCUGCAUGGGGGAUUGGGAUUUGUAAAAUGUAGAAUUGAAAACUUUUGUGGGAAUUCAUAUACUUCCUCAAACAAAGAGCCUGGAUAUAUUUAGGUUCAGUUUCACACUGUUAAACUGAAUACAUGGAAGCUAUUUUCAUGAAGGAGGAAAAAAAUCCCAAACAUAGAAAAAUAUCACAGCAAGGAUAUUUGAUGGUUCCUAAAUUAUUUGCACCUUGCAUGUAUUUUGGAGAGAUGCACUAGUCCUGGUAUUUAAUAGUCUACUCUUAUAUUCUCUCCAAACCUUUUGUGUCCUUUGUUCUUUUUCUUCUGUAUCUCACUCCGUUUUUACCUCUUCUGUUCUCCCAAUGCUGUGUCAUACCCUAGAAGGUCACAAAGCUCUGCAGUUAUUUUGGUGGAUUCAGCUAUACCCCUUCAUAGGAAGUAAGGUGCCACAAUGUGAAGAUGUGAAAGACAACACAAAUUCUGUACUGGGGAACCUGUACAUUCAUCAGGAAAAAAAAAAGGCUCUUCUUUCACAAAAAUGAGGUAAUGUUUGUAAUGAGAGGAGAGAUCCUGUACUGCCAA